GAUGAACGCUAGCUACAGGCUUAACACAUGCAAGUCGAGGGGCAGCAUUAGAUUAGCUUGCUAAUCUAGAUGGCGACCGGCGCACGGGUGAGUAACGCGUAUCCAACCUGCCCCCUACCCGGGGAUAGCCUUGCGAAAGUAAGAUUAAUACCCGGUGCAGUUGCGAUCCCGCAUGGGGAUGCAACGAAAGAUUCAUCGGUAGGGGAUGGGGAUGCGUCCGAUUAGCUUGUUGGCGGGGUAACGGCCCACCAAGGCGACGAUCGGUAGGGGUUCUGAGAGGAAGGUCCCCCACAUUGGAACUGAGACACGGUCCAAACUCC
rnacentral:rRNA from 1 species